CCUACGGGAGGCAGCAGUGGGGAAUAUUGCACAAUGGGGGAAACCCUGAUGCAGCGACGCCGCGUGAGUGAAGAAGUAAUUCGUUAUGUAAAGCUCUAUCAGCAGGGAAGAAAAUGACGGUACCUGAGUAAGAAGCCCCGGCUAACUACGUGCCAGCAGCCGCGGUAAUACGUAGGGGGCAAGCGUUAUCCGGAUUUACUGGGUGUAAAGGGAGCGUAGACGGGAGUGCAAGUCUGGAGUGAAAGGCGGGGGCUUAACCCCCGGACUGCUCUGGAAACUGUAAGGCUGGAGUGCAGGAGAGGUAAGUGGAAUUCCUAGUGUAGCGGUGAAAUGCGUAGAGAUUAGGAGGAACACCAGUGGCGAAGGCGGCUUGCUGGACUGUAACUGACGUUGAGGCGCGAAAGCGUGGGGAGCAAACAGGAUUAGAUACCCCAGUAGUC
rnacentral:rRNA from 1 species